rnacentral:rRNA from 1 species
UACGUAGGUGGCAAGCGAUACUCGGAAUCACUAGGCGUAAAGCGCAGGUAGGAGGUUUGGUAAGUCUGUUGUGAAAGCUCCCGGCUUAACUGGGAGAGGUCAACGGAAACUACCAGGCUAGAGUGCGGUAGAGGUAGCUGGAAUUCCCCGGUGUAGCGGUGAAAUGCGUAGAUAUCGGGAGGAAUACCUAUGGCGAAGGCGACUACCUGGCCUGUUCUUGACGCUGAGGCGCGAAAGCUAGGGGAGCAAACGGG